rnacentral:rRNA from 1 species
UACGUAGGGUGCGAGCGUUGUCCGGAAUUAUUGGGCGUAAAGAGCUCGUAGGCGGUUUGUCGCGUCUGCUGUGAAAACUCGGGGCUUAACUCCGGGCCUGCAGUGGGUACGGGCAGACUAGAGUGCGGUAGGGGAGACUGGAAUUCCUGGUGUAGCGGUGAAAUGCGCAGAUAUCAGGAGGAACACCAGUGGCGAAGGCGAGUCCCUGGACAGAUCCUGACGCUGAGGCACGAAAGCUAGGGGAGCAAACAGG